CACACUAUCACCCACACAUUCGUCGCUGCUCUGCAAAGUGUACCAAUAUUUAUUGCUAAAAUGCUGUGAAAAUCUAUAAUUUGCUUAAAAUUGAAUGCUUAAUUGCAUGCAACUGAUGGCCGCAUAGGCGUGGGCAGUGAAAUCUGCGUGAAAUUUCGCUGACAAUGCAGCGAAAAACAAACGCGAAAAAAGAUGAAAUCUAGUCAAUCAAAUUUUGUGAAUGAAGGAAAAGAGAAGAGGCGAGGGGCCAAAGCGAAAAACGCAAAUAAAAGUGACACGCAAAAACAAAACAGCUAAAAUGCAAUUUAUUUAAAUAUACUAGAGAUUUGCUCGAAAUAUAUGUAAAUACGAGUGACACAAACAAAUCAUCGAAAAGUCAAGAGUGUGUGUGCGUGUGGGAGUCUCCCUCUCUCUCUCUCUCCCUCCGCUUGUUGUUGUUGUGGUGGGGUUGAAAAGGAAUUGCCUGCAUAACGUUUAACGCGUGACGUAGCAGUCAAGUGCACCUCCGUCCCCGCCUUCCUUAACCCUUCAGAUAAGAGUAACCCCCUUUAUAAAGAGAGAGAUCUACGAUCUAUAUAAACCCCAUUCAUCAUGAUGGACAACGACGACGCCCUGCUCAACAAUGGAGGACCACAGUCCGGAGCAGAAACGGUCUAUGGAACCGAGGACAACAACAUGGUCAUGUCGGAGAAGAACGAGCAGGUUGUCAGCAUCGUCCAACAACUGGCGGGUAGCAUUUAUCAAGAGUUCGAGCGGAUGAUCAAUCGCUACGAUGAGGAUGUGGUAAAGAACCUCAUGCCGCUGCUGGUGAACGUGCUGGAGUGCCUGGAUGCUUCGUAUCGCAUCAAUCAGGAGCAGGAUGUGGAGGUGGAGCUGUUGCGCGAGGACAAUGAGCAGUUGGUGACACAAUACGAGCGGGAAAAGAGCGCCCGCAAACAGUCCGAACAGAAGCUAUUGGAGGCUGAAGACUUGGCCGAGCAGGAGAACAAGGAGCUGGCCACACGUCUGGAGUCGGUGGAGAGCAUUGUGCGAAUGCUGGAGCUGAAGCACAAGAACAGUCUGGAGCAUGCCAGUCGCUUGGAAGAGCGAGAAGCGGACCUCAAGAAGGAGUACAACAAGCUGCACGAGCGUUACACGGAGCUGUUCAAGAACCAUGUGGACUACAUGGAACGCACCAAGAUGUUGAUGGGCUCAACGCACUCCCAAAUGAGCACCGCCUCCGAUCGCAUGGAUGUGAGUCGAGCGAGACUUAACCCCGUGGCCCGCAGCUCGGGACCUGUUUCCUAUGGUUUCGCCUCGCUGGAGAACUCGGUAAUGCUGGACACCGAGACCAUAUGCAGUGUGGGCAGUCAAUCGGAUGAUUCCGGGCCGCCUUCGCUGCAGAACGAGCUGGACAAUCUGGGCGGAACGGUGGAACGCGGCGCUGCCACCGACGCACUGCAGCAGCAACACCAGGCCACAUCGCCCCAGAGCCCCGACAGCAGUCCCGUCGUGCCAAAUGUGCCCACAAAUGUUGGUCGUUCGACCACCAAGAAGGAGCAGCGCUCGGAUAACAAUCUCUACCAAGAGCUGUCCUUUCAGGACAACGAGGAGAGCGAAGAGAAUGAGAUUGUCACAGGCAGCUGGGUUCAUCCCGGAGAGUAUGCGUCCUCAGCUAACGACAACUAUUUUGGCAUGGGCAAGGAGGUGGAAAAUCUCAUCAUGGAAAAUAAUGAGCUGCUGGCCACCAAAAAUGCACUCAAUAUUGUCAAGGACGACUUAAUUGUCAAAGUGGAUGAGCUCACUGGAGAGGUGGAAAUCGUUCGCGAGGAGCUCAAUGCCAUGCAGCAAUCGAGGACCAAGCUGAGGCAGCGCAUCAGUGAGCUUGAGGAUGAGCUGAAGAAAGCCAAGGAGCAGGUCAAGCAGCAAAACACAGAACAAGAGGAGAACGAUGUUCCGCUGGCUCAGCGAAAGAGAUUCACUCGAGUGGAAAUGGCCAUGGUGCUGAUGGAGCGUAACGAGUACAAGGAGCGCUUAAUGGAGCUGCAGGAGGCAGUGCGUCUCACAGAGAUCCUACGCGCCUCACGCACUGUAGAUAAUUUGGACAGGAAGUCGAAGCAGAGCAUUUGGAAUUUCUUUAGUAAUCUUUUUACCCCCUCCAACCGCCCAACGGAACGCGUUGCGGACGGUCUCGGAGGGGGGCCGAUGUUUCGUCACACCGGCGGAGGAAGCCCUGCCCACAGCCACGGAUCCCCCAGUCGAGGAAGUGGAGGUGGCGACCAUCGCCUGGCCCUAACCAGCGGCCAGCCGCCCGUGCAUCCGGCCAGCGCUGGACUGGCCAACGCCCUCAUCAUGCCGAAGGACUAUGCCGAGGAGGGUAGUUCCGAGAGGAUUAGUGCACGCAGGAGGGAGCAAUAUCGCCAGCUACGCGCCCACGUACAAAAAGAGGAUGGGCGGCUGCACGCUUACGGCUGGAGUCUGCCGAUUAACAAGGCCAGCCAGGAGGCGAAUCCGAACCGUCACUCGGGCGGCGUACCCGUUCCGGUCUACUGCAAUCCCCUGGCGGUGGCAUCGCCGCACAUGAAGGUGUUCUGUGCGGCUGGCGUUAAUCUGCACGGCGGCUUCACCAAGAACGGCCAAUCGCUGAUACCUGCCAACUCACCGUAUCCUCCGAAGUCCACGCUCAAGAUUGCUGAAAUCACCAGUCCGACGGCAGAUCAGAGCAUGGAGGCGUUGGACAGACAGAUGGCGCGGGUCAGCCUGGAGACGCUCGAGCCGGAGACGCAACUCAGUUCGUUCGUGUGGAUAUGCACCAGCACACAUGCCGCGAGUACUGUCAGUGUGGUGGAUGCCAAUCAAUCGGCCACCGUUCUGGACGCAUUUCCCGUCUGCGCCUCGCAUUUGCUCUGCAUUGCCUCCGUCCAGGGAGCGAUGGAGAGUGACUACGCGCUGCUGGAACAGUCGGAGGUGGUCAAGGCAGGCGAAAUGCUACAGCGACCGGGCGAGGGUGCCGAGAUGCUGGGCAAGGUGGAGUUUGUACGGGUUAAACCAAAGACGGACGAUGAGCAGAACAGCAAUGCCAAGCAGCAGCAAGAGGAGGAGGAGGCCAAGGAAGCCACGGAGAAGUCCAACGAGCAGCUGCCGGAGUUGGGUGCCGAGGAGCCUUUGGGCAAUGUGGAGGCCAUCAAGAUACGACAGGCACUGCCAGGAGCUCCGCAGCGUCUAUCCACCAAUGGCAACCAGCAGCCAGCAAACAACAACAAUAAUACGUCGAGCGGCAACCUUCUGUUUGCCACCAAAUCGCUCAAUCCCAUACUCGAGACCAAGGAUCGCGAUGAGCCGGCAAUGAGUUCGGUGGGUCCGACGAUGUGGCUGGGCGCCCAGGAUGGCUGGCUGUAUGUGCACAGCAGCGUGGGCAGGUUGCACGAGUGCCUGCAUCGGGUUCUCCUGCCGGACGCUGUGCUGGCGAUUGUGCAUGUGGAGGCGAGGGUCGUUGUGGCGCUGGCCAAUGCCCAGCUGGCCGUGUUCCGCCGCCAGACAGACGGCCAAUGGGAUCUGAAUAGCUAUCACCUGGUGACGCUCGGUGAUCGCAACCAUUCGAUACGUUGCCUCUGUGUGGCCGGCGAGCGCAUUUGGGCGGCGCACCGCAACAAGAUCUUCAUCGUUGACCCCGUAUCGCUCAACAUUGUGCACUCGCUGGACGCGCAUCCGCGCAAGGAGAGCCAGGUGCGCCAAAUGGCGGCCACGGGAGCGGGUGUCUGGGUAUCGAUCAGGCUGGACUCCACGCUGCGGCUGUACAACACGCACACGUUCGAGCACAAACAGGACGUGGACAUUGAGCCGUAUGUGUCUAAGAUGCUGGGCACUGGCAAGCUGGGCUUUAGCUUCGUCCGCAUCACCGCCCUGAUGGUGUCCUGCAACAGGCUGUGGAUCGGCACCAGCAACGGCGUGAUCAUUUCGGUGCCACUGGCUGAGGUGCAGCCAAAAUCAUCAUCCGACCCGCAUGGUCAGAUGCCGUUGUGCUGCAUGGCCAAUGCUCAACUCUCCUUCCACGGCCACCGGGAUGCGGUGAAGUUCUUCGUUUCGGUGCCCAUGCUGCAGCAGCCGAACCUGAACGGCGGACUGACCUUCACCAACAAGCGGCCCGAUAUGCUGGUCAUGUGCGGCGGCGAGGGCUACAUCGAUUUUCGCAUAAGACAUGAUAAGUUCGAUGCUAGUGAUAAUGCAGCGCACUUGAUAGUUUGGAAAGUCGAUACAACCUUCAAUCUGUAGCAGAAUGGGAGCCGAAAAGUGAAUUGCAGCAUUUGUCUCUGCCGUGACCUGAACCAAACUAAACCGCUAAGACCGCUAAGCAGGUUUACAUGAUAACGACAUGGAGAACAGUAUUCAACUGGAACCAAAUCAAACUAUCGAAAAUCGAGGCGAUAAGAGUUACUUGAUUGUGUGGCAUGUUAGUCAACGUUAAAACCGAUUAUUUGGUUUAAGUGCAAAGAUUAUUUAUAAAAGUUAUAUGAAUACAUAUAUAUACAUGUAUAAUCUUAUAAUACGAUACUUGCAGGCUAGCGAAAAGUUUACCUUAAACAUUAGUAUUUAUCUAACCUACCUUAAAAACAACCACGAUGACAAAAUGGGUUCUAUAAAAUAAUUUAGUUAAACAAUUUUCAAAUUUUGGCCGCGAGGCAUACCCAAUUCUUUUUUAUUGCUUCAAUUAAACCAAAAAUAAAACCUGCAAAGUUAUAUGUCAGUGAUAGCCGGCUAAAUAUUUCAUGAUAUAUAUAUAUAUAUAUAUAUAUAUAUAUAUAUAUAUAUAUAUAUAUAUAUAUAUAUAUAAAUAAUACAUAAUAAGAGUGUAACAAAAUUUAAAUUUGUAAAUUUUAUGCGCUCUGCUGGCAGCAAGUUAUGUAUUUUGCAUAGACACAAAAACACCACAUUUAUAUUUAAUUAUAAAUAUAUUUAAACAUGAUAAAGAAAAGUGCGCCUUUUCAAGGGAAUUUUUGCGUGAUUCUUCGUCCAAAUAUGUAGUAGAAUCUUAAUUUCUUGUAUCAUUAUUUUAUUUUAUUUUAAAACACGAUGAUGAGCAAUUUAUGUUUAGUUAUUUUGUUAAAUAAUUUUAAACUUUAGUUGAAAAAUUUCAGACCUUAACUUUGAUUGUUAUUCAUUUGUUUGUAAGCCUUUGUUAGUAAUAAAACAAAACGGAGUAAAAAUUUUUGAUUUGUCUCUUAAAUCGCAGAGAUUUUUAACGGAUUUCUGAUCGCGCCAGGCAAGUGAUAUUUAUGUUUUAUUUCAUAACAUUAGCAUUAAAAACAACAGCUUAGAAUAUAUGCAUACGUAUUAGCUUUGGCUUGACUUGUGAAAUUCAAUUACGACAACCAAAAAUAUACAAAACAAAAAUUGCAGCAAAAAUAAACUGUAAAUAAAGACCGAACCAUACAUUAAAUAGCAAA